CCUGUCUCUCUGGCUCAGAGGAAAACAGACUGAUUUAGACUCCUGAGGUUGGAGGUUCAACCCCUUCUCCAGGUCCUGCUGAAUUUUAAAGUCCAGUGGCUAGAGUGGAGAGGAGAGUCAAAACCUGUCACCGACACACCAUGCCUGUGUGUCCACAUGGCUCACAGGAUGAGAAGACUGACUGGGACUCCUGAGCUUGUGGGUUUGAGCCUCAUGAGGGUCAAGCUGAAUUUUAAAAUCAAGUGUCUACAAAGAACAGUGAAAGAAGAAACAAACAGGAUCUUCCUUUGUGUCUAUGAGGCUCAGAGGAUAAGGAGACCGACUGGGACUCUUGAGCUUGUGGGUUUGAACCUCACCUCACCCAACUCUCUGAGAAUUUUAAAGUCUAGUGUCUAAAAAGGGACGGUUAAAUAGAAGAAAACCAGAAAACUCCUCUGUGUCCACAUGGCUCACAGGGUAAGGAGACCGACUGGGACUCCUGAGGUCGUGGGUUCCAACCCUACCUUACCCAAGUCAAAGACAAUUUAAAAGUUUAUUGUCUAAAAAGGGACGGUUAAAUAGAAGAAAACCAGAUAACACCUGUGUGUUCACAUGGCUCACAGGGUAAGAAGACUGACUGGGACUCCUGAGGUUGCGGGUUCGAACCUCACCUCACCCAACUCUCUGAGAAUUUUAAAGUCUAGUGUCUAAAAAGGGACAGUUAAAUAGAAGAAAACCAGAAAACUCCUGUGUGUCCACAUGGCUCAGAGGAUAAGCAGACUGACUGGCACUCCUGAGGUUGCGGGUUCGAACCUUAUCCCAGACCAAUUUUGAAGUCUAGCAGCCAAAGUACCAAGAUAAAAGGGCGCAACGCUCAUCCCCAAGUGCGGACGGUAUCCGGUGGCGCUGGGGGUAUGCAACUGACACCCAAAUACCAAAUGCUGGUCAGGCGGGCAGCCCUAGUUCGAUACCCACUCGACACGCAGGAGAUCCUGAAGCAAAUCCUGGGGAACCAGGCCCGGGGGGAGGUUUCCCCCCGGUGUUUCCGGAAAGGUAAAACAGGGGGGUUAUGAGGCAGGAAGUCAGAAGCCGCUGAAAUUUUGGAGAAACACAACCAACUCAAACAAGAAAGAUGACACAGUUAAAACAAGAACAGUGAGUAAAGAUGACAUCUAUAAGACACGAGACUAAUACAGAUGUAGAAAAAAGCCGACUAUAUUAUAGUCAUCUAUAUUAGAAUAAAGAUGGAUAUAAUAGUCAUCUACUAUUAUAGUGAUCUAUAUAUAGAUGACUAUAGUCAUCUACUAUAUAUAGAUGACUAUAAUAAAGUCAUCUUUAUUCUAAUAUAGUCAUAUAAUAUAGUCAUCUAUGUUAGAAUAAAGAUGACUUUAUUAUAGUCAUCUAUAUAUAGUAUUAUUAUAAUAAUAGUCAUCUAGUCUAUCUAUGACUAUUAUAGUGAUGACUAUAUUAUAGUCAUCACUAUAAUAGUAGAUGACUAUAAUAUAGUAUAUUGUAGUCUAAUCUUUAUUCUAAUAGAGAUGACUAUAAUAUAGUCGUCUAGUCUAUCUAUGACUAUAAUAGUCAUCUAUAUUAGAAUAAAGAUGACUUUAUUAUAGUCAUCUAUAAUGACUAUAUUAUAGUUGACUUUAGUCAUCUUUAAAUAAUAGUAUUAUAGAUGACUAUAAUAUAGUGACUUUAUUCUUCUAAUAGAGAUGACGAAAGUCAUCUAUGUCUGUCUUUCUUGGUUAGUUUCUCCAAAAUUUCAGCGGCUUCUGACUUCCUGCCUCAUAACCCCCCUGUUUUACCUCUCCGGAAACACCGGGGGGAAACCUCCCCCCGGGCCUGGUUCCCCAGGAUUUGCUUCAGGAUCUCCUGUGUGUCGAGUGGGUAUCGAACUAGGGCUGCCCGCCUGACCAGCAUUUGGUAUUUGGGUGUCAGUUGCAUACCCCCAGCGCCACCGGAUACCGUCCGCACUUGGGUAUGAGCGUUGCGCCCUUUUAUCUUGGUACUUUGGCUGCUAGACUUCAAAAUUGGUCUGGGAUAAGGUUCGAACCCGCAACCUCAGGAGUGCCAGUCAGUCUCCUUAUCCUCUGAGCCAUGUGGACACACAGGAGUUUUCUGGUUUUCUUCUAUUUAACUGUCCCUUUUUAGACACUAGACUUUAAAAUUCUCAGAGAGUUGGGUGAGGUGAGAACCCGCAACCUCAGGAGUCCCAGUCAGUCUCCUUACCCUGUGAGCCAUGUGAACACACAGGUGUUUUCUGGUUUUCUUCUAUUUAACCGUCCCUUUUUAGACACUAGACUUUAAAAUUCUCAGAGAGUUGGAUAAGGUAGGGUUCGAAACCACAACCUCAGGAGUCCCAGUCAGUCUCCUUACCCUGUGAGCCAUGUGGACACAAAGGUGUUUGCUGGUUUUGUCCCUUUCAACUGUUCUUUUUAGACACUAGACUUUAAAAUUCUCCUAGACUUGGGCAAGGUAGGGUUUGAACCCACCACCUUAGGAGUCCCAGUCGGUCUCCUUACCCUGUGAGCCAUGUGGACACACAGGAGUUUUCUGGUUUUCUCCUAUUCAACUCCUAUUCCUACUCAACCCUUACGAGGCUCAAACCCACAAGCUCAGGAGUCCCAGUCAGUCUUCUCAUCCUGUGAGCCAUGUGGACACACAGGCAUGGUGUGUCGGUGACAGGUUUUGACUCUCCUCUCCACUCUAGCCACUGGACUUUAAAAUUCAGCAGGACCUGGAUAAGGGUUUGAACCUCCAACCUCAGGAGUCUAAAUCCAUCUUUUUCCCUCUGAGCCAGAGAGACAGGCA
rnacentral:lncRNA from 1 species